GACGAACGCUGGCGGCGUGCUUAACACAUGCAAGUCGAACGAAGUGGCGAACGGGUGAGUAACGCGUAAUCAACCUGCCCUUCAGAGGGGGACAACAGUUGGAAACGACUGCUAAUACCGCAUACUGAAGGAGGGGAUUGCGUCUGAUUAGCUAGUUGGGGGGGUAAUGGCCCACCAAGGCGAAGACCAGUAACCGGUCUUAGAGGAUGGACGACCACAUUGGGACUGAGACACGGGCCAGACUCCUACGGGAGGCAGCCGUGGGGGAUCUUCCGCAAUGGACGGAAGUCUGACGGGGCAACGCCGCGUGAGUGAUGACGGCCUUCGGGUUGUAAAGCUCUGUUAAUCGGGGCGCGGUACCGGAAUAGAAAGCCACGGCUAACUACGUGCCAGCAGCCGCGGUAAUAC
rnacentral:rRNA from 1 species